GCUUGCCGAAAUGGUGUCAACUGUUUUUAUUUUUUAAAUUUUUUUUUUAUGUUCCUAACCUUGCGGUAUCUGCGCUCUAUACUCUUUGGCUAAGAAAAACCCAACCUAUACAGGCCUCACUAGUGCAAGCAGCGUAGAGUGGCAGCGCAUUGUGACAAACACGUGUGGAUAUAUAGCUGUUACGAAAGCAAGGCAUAGCUAUUGAACAAUCUUGGAAUAUAUUUACUUUGAAAGAAUCCACAGUUAACCCUCCAUGGUAAGAGAGAAGGUCUUUCCACUGCAGAAAAGGUUGCCUACACACCAUCAUACACCUACAUGUAUCACAUGGGGUUCUAAGCACCUUAAGCAGACCUUCAGCCCAACAUGAUGUCAACAACCUUACAAAAGGACUCACUCCAUGUAUUCUGCCAUAUCUUUAGUUUCAAAAGGUCCUUUCUCAAUAAAAGGUUUUGGGUUCGCACAAAUUAUUAUAAUACAUGGAGAGUUUGAGCACAGAUGGUUUGAGCACAGCGAGUCCUUUCUGGCUUCAGUUGUAGUGCCUUGAAUAUCAUGUUAAUGUUGCAAUACACACAACUACUCCGAAAAGGUCUCUGGACCUCUGGAAUCAUCCAUUAUCAAUUGGGGGUAAGUCCAAGGUCUAGUUGCAAAGGAACACUGUAUGUGGAUUUGUAAUAUUGCAUCCGUAGAGCAAUGAACAGUAUACACAACAGUGAAUCAAAGGCUUGCCACAUUUCAUGCUUUCAUCCCAUACUACAGGUCUUUCCACUGCAGAAAAGGUCGCCUACACACCAUCAUACACCUAUCACAUGGGGUUCAAAGGACCUUUAGCAGACCUUCAGCCCAACAUGAUGUCAACAGCCUUACAAAAGGACUCACUCCAUGUAUUCUGCCAUAUCUUUAGUUUCAAAAGGUCCUUUCUCAAUAAAAGGUUUUGGGUUCGCACAAAUUAUUAUAAUACAUGGAGAGUUUGAGCACAGUUGGUUGAGCAUGAACCCUUUCUGGAUUCAGCUGUAGUUCCAUAAAGAUUAAAGUUUGUUGAUUACAGUAUGUUAAUUACAGUAAUUGAUCACAUUAUGUUACAGUAUGUACAAAACAACUAUUCCGAAAAGGUUUCAAGACCUCUGGAAUCAUCCAUUAUCAAUUGGGGUAAGUCCAAGGUCUAGUUACAAAGGACACAGAAACCAUGUAGGCAUGGAGGGUGACAAUACUUGGUCUAACCUCAUGACCAUAAUUAUGUCUACUUGUUUCACAGAAGAGGCGUAGAAUUGUACAUGUAUGAAGGUGAUAUUUGGUCCUCGAAAAAAAAAAAUAAUAAUAAUAAUUUCUAAAGAGCACAAGGGCUGACCGUAGAGAAAGGACAGAGGGCUGACCUACGUUUACACAUGGUGUAAGGUUUAGAAGACCUUUCCCUCUAUAGUCCCAAAUUUGUUGUUUUUUUCCACGUGUAAACAAAUCGGAAAUUCAGACUAAGGUGGCAAAAUAUCAUGCCUGGUAAUGGUUACAAAUUUUUAAUAAAUUUUUACAAUUUAUUGAGUCUUAUUUGACUGCAUGUAUUGUGUUUGUAAGUGAACCAGGAAUUGCUUAAAAAUUAUUUGUAAGUUUUACUUAAAUGGAUAAUAUUUAUCAAUAAAUUACUCAUAAAUCAUUGCCUCAUAAAUAAAUAGUAAAAAUAUCUUGUUCACAAUGUUGCAUUUCUUUACACAGUUGGCGUUUAUGCCCACUACUCUUUAAAAAGUGAUUUUGCAGUUAAAUCUCAAUGUUAUUUGUUUAUCAAUUAACGAUCGCACUGUCAAUAAUUAUAAGUACUUAAGUUUCUCAAUAUUUAACAAAUGUCAUGACAUUUCAUUGUUAUACAUAAAUAAAUUGAAUGAGCCAUAUUUUUGACCGCCUGAGGGUGCUCUCAAUCACUUCCGGGGGUAUAUUCAUUGGUACCCAAAACAGAAUAGAAAGACCGGAACACACUAACAACACAUACAUCUAAUCCAUCACGGACAAUAAGACAUUUGAGAGAGCCGAUACAACCCACCUCUAAAGCAACUUAACACUACGGUGCAGCAAAUGUGACAGAACGCCUAUUGAAACUGUGCUCGACUAAUCGCAUAUACCCCCGGAAGUGAUAAAAAUACUCUUGAUGGCUUCCUCACGCGACCAAAAAUACGGAGCAUUGAAUUAUAUUAGGCUAACUAAUUCCACAAUUGUGACAAAUAUAUUGUAAAUUUUAAAAUGCAAAUCUACCUCAUUCCAUUCUUAAACAGGGGUUCCAAUAGACAAGAAUAGGCAGGACACUUCGCCCAAUCAUAGAGUAAGGACACAACAUUGUAUUCUCUAGAAACAAUGAAUAUUCAUAGUACAUUCUGUUGGAGCGCUCUACUUUCUGAUGGAGGGGGGUUACAGUUCUAUGAAUGUGUCAACAAAGUUUGUUCAAUUGCUUUUGACCUUUGUUUUGACUAACUGUGGUUUUCCCUUCUGAUUAACCAUUGGUGAGAACAGUUCACCUCUUAUAAAAUGGUUCAGUCCAGUUUCACUACCUGUCUUAAUAGCAGGACUGCCAGUGCCAGGCUUCUUCCAUUAUGGGUUUAGGUGUACACUGAAUGAGAAUGGAGAUUUAAACAAGGAAAUGCAGCUAAAAUGGAAUAGUCUAUCUGAGAACAGUGGUGGUGACGCAGCCAAGAGACAGAAUCUACAUUUUGCUUCCUUACAUGGUUUAUUCAUUCUGCUUCCAUGAAGCCAACGGUCAGAAACUGGAUGUUGUGGGGAUUGG